rnacentral:lncRNA from 10 species
GGCACAGAUGUCAGGACAGUUAAAGAGGGAGAUAGAGUUAUUGGCACAAGAAACUUUAAUUGUAUGGCUGAAGAAUGCGUCACUGACCAGAAGGACCUGUGGCAGAUUCCAGAAAAGGUCUCCCUAUAAGAAGCUGCUGUCCUCCCUAUAACUUAUGGCACUGCGAUUUUUGCUCUUGAGCAUUGGGCCCGUACCCAGCCUGGGUAAUAUAGCUGCUGCUGGAAGUGACGAGAAGUGCAAGCUGGCGAUGCAGAGGGGUGCGCAGUCCAGCGUGAACUACAGUCAGGGCAGCCUGAAGGAUGCAGCUGGAGCACAGUGGUGCAAUCAUGGCUCCAUGGCUCACUACGGCCUUGACCUCCUGGGCUCAAGCAGUCCUCCUCCCUCAGCCUCCUGA